AGUGGAUGGGGAGCAACCUAGUUGUGCGUGUGUAAAGGUAGUGCCAAGAAAAGCGGUGAUCAUGAUGAAAAUCAAUUCCCGGUACCCGAAACCGACACAGGUGGGCAAGUAGAGAAUACUAAGGGGCGCGAGGUAACUCUCUCCAAGGAACUCGGCAAAAUGACCCCGUAACUUAGGGAGAAGGGGUGCCACCGAGAGGUGGUCGCAGUGAAGAGGCCCAGGCGACUGUUUAGCAAAAACAUAGGUCUCUGCAAACUCGAAAGAGGAGGUAUAGGGGCUGACGCCUGCCCAGUGCCGGAAGGUUAAAGAAGUUGGUCAGUCUUAGGAUGAAGCUAGCGACUGAAGCCCCGGUGAACGGCGGCCGUAACUAUAACGGUCCUAAGGUAGCGAAAUUCCUUGUCGGGUAAGUUCCGUCCCGCACGAAAGGCGUAACGAUCUGGGCGCUGUCUCGGAGAGAGGCUCGGCGAAAUAGGAUUGUCUGUGAAGAUACGGACUACCUGCAUUUGGACAGAAAGACCCUAUGAAGCUUUACUAUAGCUUGGAAUUGUGUUCGGGCUUCCUGUGCGCAGGAUAGGUGGGAGGCGUAGAAGAUAUUCUUGUGGGGAUACUGGAGCCAACGGUGAGAUACCACUCUCAGGAGGCUAGAAUUCUAACUUAAUUAAGGACAGUUGCAGGUGGGUAGUUUGACUGGGGCGGUCGCCUCCAAAAAGGUAACGGAGGCGUACAAAGGUUCCCUCAGACUGGUUGGAAAUCAGUCGAAGAGUGCAAAGGCAGAAGGGAGCUUGACUGCGAGAAGUACAGUUCGAGCAGGGUGGAAACACGGUCUUAGUGAUCCGACGGUGCUGUGUGGAAGGGCCGUCGUUCAACGGAUAAAAGUUACUCUAGGAUAACAGGCUGAUCUCCCCCAAGAGUUCACAUCGACGGGGAGGUUUGGCACCUCGAUGUCGGCUCAUCGCAACCUGGGGCGGAAGUACGUCCCAAGGGUUGGGCUGUUCGCCCAUUAAAGCGGUACGUGAGCUGGGUUCAGAACGUCGUGAGACAGUUCGGUCCAUAUCCGAUGUAGGCGUGAGAAUAUUGAGAGGAGCCUUCCUUAGUACGAGAGGACCGGGAAGGACGCACCGCUGGUGUACCUGUUAUGAUGCCAAUUGUAAACGCAGGGUAGCCAAGUGCGGAGAGGAUAACCGCUGAAAGCAUCUAAGUGGGAAGCCCACCUCAAGAUGAGUAUUCUGGUGUAAGGUCACGGGAAGACGACCCGUAAAUAGGCACGAGGUGGAAGUGCAGAGAUGUAUGAAGCCGAAGUGUACUAAUAGACCGUCGGCUUGAC
rnacentral:rRNA from 1 species